CCUUCGAUAGCUCAGCUGGUAGAGCGGAGGACUGUAGUUGGUAUAUAUUAGCAAACCUUAGGUCGCUGGUUCAAUUCCGGCUCGAAGGA